rnacentral:rRNA from 1 species
CAAUAUGAAGGUCAGGCUGAAGACCUUACCCGAUUAGCUGAGAGGUGGUGCAUGGCCGUCGUCAGUUCGUACUGUGAAGCAUCCUGUUAGGUCAGGCAACGAGCGAGACCCACGUCCACAGUUGCCAGCAUACCCUCCGGGGUGAUGGGUACACUGUGGAGACCGCCGCUGCUAAAGCGGAGGAAGGAGUGGGCAACGGUAGGUCAGUAUGCCCCGAAUCUCCCGGGCUACACGCGGGCUACAAUGGUUGGUACAAUGGGCAUCUACCCCGAAAGGGGAAGGAAAUCUCUUAAAGCCAAUCGUAGUUCGGAUUGAGGGCUGCAACUCGCCCUCAUGAAGCUGGAAUCCGUAGUAAUCGCGUUUCAACAGAACGCGGUGAAUACGUCCCUGCUCCUU